AGAGGCGUCCAUGUCUCCUCCCUUCAACCUCCCCACCUCUCCUACCCCCCACCACAAUCGGUUCCUAACCUCACCCAAUCUAAACCUAAUCUCUCUCCCCCAGCCCUCACAACCCAGUCCCCCACCUAAUCACAGCAUCGCGGCGGAUUUGUUGCUUUAGAUCCACCGCGACCUAGGGUGUCCGCCACGAUCUGGGCUUGAUCGUGGUGGAUCGGGUGAGAUCACAAAGCAGUCGCAUUCUUCUGCCACGAUCUGGCCGAUUCCGCUUUGUAGUUAAUUUUUUUCUUCCCUCCCUCCUUAAAUGGCGACCAAGCAGUAGGUGAUUUUUCUUUUUUGGUUAUUAGGUAAAUAAGAAAUUGGUGACGAUCGAUCACAUUUGGUUUUAUUUAUUUGUUUUUCUUAAAACCCAAUAUUCCUUGUCAUCGAUCUCACCAGUUUUUUAUUCUCCUAACACCCAAAUGUCAUGGAAAGUUUCUUAUGACGACGUGUGUCUACAAUCUAGGGAACUUUAUGAGAUGGAAUCCUGUGCGAAUAGGAGAAGGAAGUCCUCUUAUAAGGAUGAAUCAUGCAUGCUUAGAUUUACAGUGGACUCCUGAAGGUGAUUUGCAUCAAAUAAACAAGAGCAAAAGCCCGCAGUUUCAGUCAACUGAGUAACUAUCACUAAAGCUUAACUUAAAGAGAAAAGAUACUUGCCACUGUCCCCGACGAGAAGGAGCUUGAUCAGGUAAUCAUAAUUGGCGUGAGCUCUAGCUGGCGCAGAUUUACUUUGAAUAGCUCGAACCAUAAUCAAACAGUGCCUCCAACCAUUAGAAUGUGCAAUAUGAAUUGCAAGAAAAACUGCCAUUAACUCUGCAUAAUAGGCAGAGUGAGUGCCUAAACUAACCACGAAACCUCCAAGAAAAUCACACGAAUGGACUCUUCCCCACAAGCAGAUGAACCAGGAUUCCUUCUUGAUAAUCCUUCCGUGUUGACCUUAAUCCACGAUGGAAAAGGAGGGUGCCCAGAUCCUCAUUUCUUUCAUUAGAAAAAUGAUCCACUAUUAAAUCUACAACUAAACCAAGCUCCUGUUAUAAUUUGUUCUCGUCAUUUAGAAGUUACAUCAGAAUUCAGGGAAAGACUUCAUCAAUGCUCCUGUUAUGUUAUUUCUAUUACUCUGAAGUAAGCAAGAUCAAGUCACAAUGUGUAAUAUCAACAGCUUCGAAAAUUCUCCUCUUUCCUCACCUUUCCCACUCCACCUCUUCUCUAUCUCCACUUCACCCUCAUCACUGCCAAACAACUUCAUCCACUACACCAGAAACAAAGUGCAAAACUAAAGUGACAGUCUUUUCAUAAAUGGCAGUGGCGAAUGCUUUUGGAGCUACAACUCUGAGCUUGAAAACCUCUUCUUCUCAUUUACCCGUCUCUUCAUUUCCCAAAUUAAAACCAGAGACUGCAUUUUAACAAAAUACACCAUCCAUACAUACGAAUUUUCAUACAUAAAAUGUAUGUGUUAUAUUUACCUAUACAACUGAUAAUAAAAUCUUAAAAUACGACAUACCAAAAUAUGGUUAAAUAAUAAAAAAAUAUAUAAAACUUUACUUAUGUUUUCAAGUAAAGUUCAGAUCAUUAGAAAAUUCUGAUCAAAUAAUACAUUUGACCAUCGAACUUGAAUCCAAACUGGUUUACAAACAAAUUUGAUCAAUUUUCAAACCCAUGUAUUUGCUCAAAACACGUUUAUAUAAAAUAGUCUCCAUAUAUAAGUGUUCAUAUGAAAACAAAGUAGUUGGAAUUAAUUUUCCAAGAAGCUGAGGGGUGCUUUGCCGUGUUCUUAUAAAGGAUUUGACAUGAGAAAGUGCACCAGAAAUUAACGAGAGCUUUGAUUGAAAUUGUUUUUAUAGUUUAAAAAUCAUCUGUUGAAAGAAAAAUAGGCCCACGGAGAAGGUUGGUGGUGAGGGGGAAAGCUGCUGACGCCAGAAAAUGCGGGUGACGACGUUUGCUAACAUGCGCCCCCUCCUGCUAAAAUGGGUGGUUGUUUUGGUGAAAAGAAGGUUGGAGAGAAUGGUGGGGAUGUUUAAGAGGCUGGUGGUGAGGUGUUUGUUGUCGUGGCAUUCUUCGCAAAUUCAAAUUGAUAUUUUUGCUGUUUAGGUACUUUUAGCUUAAAGAUUUUGUUGAAGCAAAUACUACUUCUAUGAGUAUACUUACAGCAUUAUUUGCAUUGCAACAGAUAUUUAAGUCAAUUCUGUAUUAUAUUUCACAUCCAUUCAAUACUCAUCUGAUUGUUGUAAUUCUUUAGCUUUAAGUUGGGGGCAUUUUAUUUUGAUUUUGGAGGAGCAUGCUGUAAGAUUUUAGUUGCUUCAAUUUUCAGUUGAUAUCGUCUCUGUCAGCCUGCUUUGUGUAAUUACGAUUUUAUUGAAACUUAGUUGAGUUGCAAAUUUGAUAGAACUUCUUUCACGAGAUUUUACUUUUAUAACUUUUUCUGCUUGCCCAUUUGAAUACUUAAAACCAUUUUCCUAUUUGCUUCAUCACUGCUUGUUUUGUUUUAUCUAGUGAUAUUUAUAUUUAGUUUCUUUGUGAUUGUUAUAUCUCUGAUUUAUCUAGUAUAUUGGUAUUACUUUUACUCUCGUUCAAAGGUGGUCUGAUUAUUCGUCUGAUUAUCUUGUUGUGGACAUGCAUGGCUCUAAAGAUCUUCGUACAUUUAUUCAGGCAAUUAACACAAUUUUUGGUUAUAGGUGACCUAUAAGAUCAGAUUUUGUGAAGUUUAAAGUUUCAGGCAAUUAAGACAAUUUGUGGUUAUGGGUGCCCUGUAAGAUCAGAUAUUGUCAAGCCUAAAUUUGAUUAAUAGCAUUUUCUCUUUCUUCUUAUUUGUUCAUUUUUAUUACUAAUGUAUGAUAUUCUACUUUGUUUGCUUGUUUGAAGGUUGGUUUGAUUGGUUCUGAGGAAAUUCUUCGAGCGACUGUAGAUGGGUUAUAUUGAUCAUUGUUAAUUUAGUUUUGAGUCUGUUAAUCAAAAUUUGUCUCCAGGAGGUGGUAUAGACGGUCGCAACAACCAAUCCAAGCUGUCAGAUGAUGCCAAUGCUGGGCACAAGCAACUCAGUUUGAUCUGCUUCAUGAGGACGAGGACUCGUGCAUUUGGAUGUGGGUUCUUAGUUUUGCAAUCUUUGCCUUGAUCUGGCCCAGAUGAUCAUUCCAUAACAAUUACAAAAUCGAAAAACAAAACUUAACAAUCACACAAAGGGAAUCGCUAUGAUUAAAUCCCAGUAAUGUUAUCCGACCAACAUCACAUUUGUAACACAGAACUUUUCUCUAAUAAACAAUA